AUUGAACGCUGGCGGCAGGCCUAACACAUGCAAGUCGAGCGGAUGAAGGGAGCUUGCUCCUGGAUUCAGCGGCGGACGGGUGAGUAAUGCCUAGGAAUCUGCCUGGUAGUGGGGGAUAACGUCCGGAAACGGGCGCUAAUACCGCAUACGUCCUGAGGGAGAAAGUGGGGGAUCUUCGGACCUCACGCUAUCAGAUGAGCCUAGGUCGGAUUAGCUAGUUGGUGGGGUAAAGGCCUACCAAGGCGACGAUCCGUAACUGGUCUGAGAGGAUGAUCAGUCACACUGGAACUGAGACACGGUCCAGACUCCUACGGGAGGCAGCAGUGGGGAAUAUUGGACAAUGGGCGAAAGCCUGAUCCAGCCAUGCCGCGUGUGUGAAGAAGGUCUUCGGAUUGUAAAGCACUUUAAGUUGGGAGGAAGGGCAGUAAGUUAAUACCUUGCUGUUUUGACGUUACCAACAGAAUAAGCACCGGCUAACUUCGUGCCAGCAGCCGCGGUAAUACGAAGGGUGCAAGCGUUAAUCGGAAUUACUGGGCGUAAAGCGCGCGUAGGUGGUUCAGCAAGUUGGAUGUGAAAUCCCCGGGCUCAACCUGGGAACUGCAUCCAAAACUACUGAGCUAGAGUACGGUAGAGGGUGGUGGAAUUUCCUGUGUAGCGGUGAAAUGCGUAGAUAUAGGAAGGAACACCAGUGGCGAAGGCGACCACCUGGACUGAUACUGACACUGGGGUGCGAAAGCGUGGGGAGCAAACAGG
rnacentral:rRNA from 1 species